rnacentral:lncRNA from 1 species
CUUGAUGGAGGGAAAGCAUAGCAUGUGCUCCUCUCUUGGAGCCAAUGAGCGCUAGAACUGGGAACCCUUUCUCUGCGUUCUGGUGGCACUUUGUUCUGUUUGUUCUUCACUGUCGGGAAACAAGAAGAGUGCCCCCUGGACCUAACACCCCCCACUCCGGAUCUUCCCACCCGGGUCUCAGCCUUAAACUAGAAAACUCAGGGGUCAUCAGCAGAAGACUGAGUAAACAGCUUGUGGCAUAGCCACAUGAUGUGACCCUGUUCAACAGCAAAAAGGAAGAACUGCUGAAAAGCACAGCAACAUGGAUGAACCUCAGAAACACUGAGUGAAAGAAUAUUCACACAUGCACAAAACAUUCUACUUGAUUCAAUGAAUAUGAAGUGCAAGAGCAGGGAAAAUAAAUUUAUGAUAGAUGUCAGAAGGUGGUUGCAUUUGGAGAUGGGGUAAAAUUGAUGGGAAGAUAGUGUGUGGGAACUUUCUAGAUGAUUAAAAUGUUCUAUAUUUUGCUUGGGUGGUAGUCUCACAGAUAUUUACAAAUGUCCUAACUCAUCAAACUGAAUAUUUUAGACCUGUGCCUUUUAUGUUGCAUAAUUUGUAACUCUAAUUAAACGAAUGAAUGAAAAACAAACAAUCUAAUUAUUUUCAGGGAGAUACCUAAAGGUAAAUUCAGGUUGAACAAGAGGUUGUAUCCACUUCAACAUUAGCAGAGUUUGUUUCAGAGUUAGGACUAUUGUGUCCUGAGAAAGACCUGGAGUAUCUAAAAAUAUGAAAGGGAAAUAAUGAUAAAUAAUAUGAAAGGCUCUAAAGAAGACCUAGAAGACCCAUUUGAAACUGUGCAAGAGAAACCAUUUUUCUUAACCUUCCCUCAAAUAACCUUUAGAAUAUUUAAGAAUGCUCUGUAGGAUGUACACUUAAUUUCAAACAUAACUAACCAGUUUGUAAUCCAUAAAAAU